GAUUGCUGUGUCCCUUUGGUAGUGAUUUUGGAGGGGAAUCCCAGAGCCAUUUGGUUUGAAGGGGACCUUCAAAGGCCAGCCUGUCUUCCGUGGGCAGGGACACCUUCCACUGUCCCCGGUUGCUCCGAGUCCCGUCCAGCCUGGCCUGGAACACGUGCAGGGAUGGGGCAGGCUCAGCUUCCCUGUGCAGUGUGCUCUAAUAUCUCUCCACUGGCAUCCUGAAAAAUGUUGUCAGCGUGUUUUGUUGGCCGACGGUAAGCAGGACCUGGGUGAAAAGGACAUUCUCUGAGGUGCUGGGAGAAGGAGGACUCGUGCGGGCACCUCCAGAGACAGCGGGAACGGGAGCGUGCUGCGGAGAAGGAAAAUUCCAGGGGAAUUGCCACGAGAGGAAAUACUUCAGAGGGGCUUCCCUCCAGCUAAGCCCUGAAUAUGCCAGGAGGUUUCAGCCGGGAGGAAAGGAGCUGUGGAAGAAAAGCAGCCUAAAAAUAGCCAGCGGGGAUCAUCAGGUUUUCCAGCCAAGAAGAACAAGGAGAGAGAUGAGGGAAUCGGGUUCCAAUUCCUAAUGAUUUGGUGGGUGCAGGAAUGAUUUCUGUGUGUUUUCCAGUCCCUUUUGAUUCCUGAGAUGAUUUUAAAAUGAUGGCUUUAGCAAUCAACUAAAUCGGAGAUGUUGUUUUUGAGAGGAAAUGAUGCCAAAUAAAUGCAGAGUUUUGGGUCAGUUUUUGGGAUGAUUUGAGUCAGUUUUUGGGGUCAGUUUGGGGUCAUUGUUUGGGGUGAUUUGGGUCACUUUUGGGAUGAUUUGGGUCAGGUUUUGGGGUCAGUUUUGGGUCAGCUUUUGGGGUGAUUUGGGUCGGUUUGGGGUCAAUUUUUGGGGAGCACUGGGUGUUACUGGUGGUUGUUGGGGAGCACUGGGUGUUACUGGGGAGCACUGGGAGAGCAAAUGAAAAAUAAA